GAUGAAGAACGCAGCGAAAUGCGAUACGUAAUGUGAAUUGCAGAAUUCAGUGAAUCAUCGAAUCUUUGAACGCACAUUGCGCUCCCUGGUAUUCCGGGGAGCAUGCCUGUUCGAGCGUCAUUAUCAACCCUCAAGCCCUGCUUGGUAUUGGGUGCCGUCCCUGCUGCGGACGCGCCCUAAAUUGAUUGGCGGUGGUGUUGAACCUCAAGCGUAGUAAAAUAUCAGCUUCUAGGUGAGACGUCGCUUUGCCUCGAGAACCCCACAUCUCAAGGUUGACCUCGGAUCAGGUAGGGAUACCCGCUGAACUUAAGCAUAUCAAUAAGCGGAGGA
rnacentral:misc_RNA from 1 species